GUGCUUGCUUUGGCAGCACAUAUACUAAAACUGGAAUGAUACAGAAAAGACAGCAUGGCCCAAGUGCAAGGAUGAUAUACAAACUCAUGAAGCAUUCCAUAUUUCA
ensembl:snRNA U6 U6 spliceosomal RNA